CAGCAGCCGCGGGAACACCGGCGGCCCGAGUGGUGAUCGUGAUUAUUGGGUCUAAAGGGUCCGUAGCCGGUUUGGUCAGUCCUCCGGGAAAUCUGAUAGCUCAACUAUUAGGCUUUCGGGGGAUACUGCCAGACUUGGAACCGGGAGAGGUAAGAGGUACUACAGGGGUAGGAGUGAAAUCUUGUAAUCCCUGUGGGACCACCUGUGGCGAAGGCGUCUUACCAGAACGGGUUCGACGGUGAGGGACGAAAGCUGGGGGCACGAACCGGAUUAGAUACCCGGGUAGUCCCAGCCGUAAACGGUGCUCGCUAGGUGUCAGGCAUGGCGCGACCGUGUCUGGUGCCGCAGGGAAGCCGUGAAGCGAGCCACCUGGGAAGUACGGCCGCAAGGCUGAAACUUAAAGGAAUUGGCGGGGGAGCACAACAAACCGGGUGGAGCCUGCGGUUUAAUUGGACUCAACGCCGGACAACUCACCGGGGGCGACAGCAAUAUGUAGGCCAAGCUGAAAACUUUGCCUGAAUCGCUGAGAAGAGGUGCAUGG
rnacentral:rRNA from 1 species